rnacentral:misc_RNA from 1 species
ACUUGGUGAUUUCCAAAAGAAGCAGGUGCCAAGCAUUGCUGCCAUGGCGCUCAUGGGAAAGGCAAUAACCGGUUUUCAACCAUGUGAAUUCCAAAUAAGAGGCCCCUGUCUAGUUUGGAAUACCGUAGUUUCUGAAAUAAGUAGCAGCAACAGUUACUUUGCUUCAGGUUAGUCCUCCAGACAUUGCUGAUUACCUUGUUGGUCAGUGAAUGCAUGAUGAGGAG